GAUGCCAUCCCCCUUUGUAUAUCUUCUCCAUAUAUAUUAAAUCAGAAGUUAAUGCUUGUGCACCUCUCCAUCUUGUGUACAAGUUUGGCUCUUUUAUUACAUUC
rnacentral:snoRNA from 1 species